UCCGCAGGCGGUCCGGUGUGUCGGAUGUGAAAGCUCACAGCUCAACUGUGGAAUUGCAUUCGAAACUGCCGGACUAGAGUACUGGAGGGGAGAAGGGAACACUUGGUGUAGCGGUGAAAUGCGUAGAUAUCAAGUGGAACACCGGAGGCGAAGGCGCUUCUCUGGACAGAUACUGACGCUCAUGGACGAAAGCUAGGGUAGCGAAAG
rnacentral:rRNA from 1 species